rnacentral:rRNA from 1 species
GAUGAACGCUGGCGGCGUGCUUAACACAUGCAAGUCGAACGAAGCACUUUAUUUGAUUUCCUUCGGGACUGAUUAUUUUGUGACUGAGUGGCGGACGGGUGAGUAACGCGUGGGUAACCUGCCUUGUACAGGGGGAUAACAGUUGGAAACGGCUGCUAAUACCGCAUAAGCGCACAGCAUCGCAUGAUGCAGUGUGAAAAACUCCGGUGGUAUAAGAUGGGCCCGCGUUGGAUUAGCUAGUUGGUGAGGUAACGGCCCACCAAGGCGACGAUCCAUAGCCGACCUGAGAGGGUGACCGGCCACAUUGGGACUGAGACACGGCCCAAACUCCUACGGGAGGCAGCAGUGGGGGAUAUUGCACAAUGGGCGAAAGCCUGAUGCAGCGACGCCGCGUGAGCGAAGAAGUAUUUCGGUAUGUAAAGCUCUAUCAGCAGGGAAGAUAAUGACG